rnacentral:rRNA from 1 species
UUUCCGGUUGAUCCCGCCGGACCUGACUGCUAUCGGAUUGAUACUAAGCCAUGCGAGUCUUUGUAGUAAUACAAGGCAGACGGCUCAGUAACACGUAGUCAACCUACCCUAUGGACAAGAAUAAUCUCGGGAAACUGGGCAUAAUUCUUGAUAGAUCAUAAUGCCUGGAAUGGUUUAUGGUUAAAAUGAUUCGUCGCCAUAGGAUGGGACUGCGGCCUAUCAGCUUGUUGGUGAGGUAAUGGCCCACCAAGGCGAUUACAGGUACGGGCUCUGAGAGGAGAAGCCCGGAGAUGGGUACUGAGACACGGACCCAGGCCCUAUGGGGCGCAGCAGGCGAGAAAACUUUGCAAUGUGCGAAAGCACGACAAGGUUAAUCCGAGUGAUUUCUGCUAAAGAAAUCUUUUGCCAGUCAUAAAACCACUGGUGAAUAAGGGGUGGGCAAGUUCUGGUGUCAGCCGCCGCGGUAAAACCAGCACCUCAAGUGGUCAGGAUGAUUAUUGGGCCUAAAGCAUCCGUAGCCGGCUUUGUUAGUUUUCGGUUAAAUCCAUGUGCUCAACGCAUGGGCUGCCGAAAAUACUGCAUAGCUAGGGAGUGGGAGAGGUAGACGGUACUCAGUAGGAAGGGGUAAAAUCCUUUGAUCUAUUGAUGACCACCUGUGGCGAAGGCGGUCUACCAGAACACGUUCGACGGUGAGGGAUGAAAGCUGGGGGAGCAAACCGGAUUAGAUACCCGGGUAGUCCCAGCUGUAAACGAUGCAGACUCGAUGAUGCAUUGGCAUAAUAGCCAGUGCAGUGUCGCAGGGAAGCCGUUAAGUCUGCCGCCUGGGAAGUACGUACGCAAGUAUGAAACUUAAAGGAAUUGGCGGGGGAGCACCACAAGGGGUGAAGCCUGCGGUUCAAUUGGAGUCAACGCCGGGA